UUGCAAAGUGGCAAGGAAAC
rnacentral:piRNA from 2 species